CCUAUUCUGUUACCGUUUCAUUCGAUCAAACACCAAACCGUGCUCAUCCAGUUGUUCUCAAAUCCGCCACCAUCACCACCACUGCUAUUGCCACUACCAUCACCACCACUGCUAUCAUCAAACUGUACAAUCAAACAGCCGUUCUCACAUUCACGAACCAAACCGUCAUUCUCACUCUCACGAACCAAGCCGUCGUUCGAAUCAAAGCUCGUUUCAUAAAGAAGAGGAAAUUGAAGGAGUUUUUGUAAGACAGUGGCGGUGCGUUUGGAAUCUGUGAUUUGAUGCUCGUUUGUGCUGCUAAUUUCGUUGAUUUUGGUGGUUUUUGUCAGCGUUUCCGGUGAGAACGUGCUGUUGAAACAGAGCAGUGUCAGAGAUUGAACACCUCGUCAUUUUCAGCAAGAAUUAAUUCUGACUUGUGGAACCUCAUAUGAUGCACAUAAUACUUGAAAAGACGAAAACGUAUAAUGCGUAUUAUACUCUUAUGUUCAUGCGUAACAAGUACAUAGUUGUUAAUAGCGGCUAUAGCGACCGCUAUAGCGCGCUAUGUAGCCUUGCGACCAAGUGUCGCUAUAUGGGUCUUAGCGACGAAUAGCGAAGUUAGCGACAGUUAGGUAUUUUUUUUUAGUUUUUCACCUCUCGUUUGGGCCAUUUUUAAUACAAAAAAAACUGCAUAAUCUGCUUAAAAAAGCAGGAGGUUAAAGGUUAAAUUGUGCGCAAAAACUGCCCCACGCGGGCCCGGGUUUUGGGAGCUGCAUUCGUGUCCGCAGGACGUGCGGGCACGCACGAGUUCAAUUAAAUUCCAGUUCAGAAUUUGUCGCUAUUCGCUACGUAGCCUAUAGGUGCCUUGUCGCUAUUUGUCGCUAUUCGCUAUCGACAACUAUGAACACGUAUGGCCCACAAGAUGCAUAUACAUGAUGCUUGUAAUGGUAUUUUAUCAAACAUGAAGUAGUAGAAUAAGUGCAAAUAAGCUUUUUAUCAGUAUGCCUCCCAAGAAUGUUUCUAAGACUGAAGUUUCAGCAUUAUUAUCACAAUAUGAAACCUUAAAAGACCUACAAAUUCUCAGAGGUUUUCAACAAACAAGUAAAGGGCUUCGGUUCAUGUUUCAGAAUCAUGACUAUGGCAGGCUGUGCUUUUGUGAAGUACGAGACAAAAGAACAAGUUGUUUCUGCUAUAGAGGGCCUUAAUGGAAAACACAAGAUGGAGGGUUCAAAUGUCCCUUUGGUUGUUAAAUGGGCAGACACCGAAAAGGAAAGACAAGCUAGAAAGGCUAAG